rfam:Triticum aestivum genome assembly, contig: Triticum_aestivum_CS42_TGACv1_scaffold_486886_6AS
UGACAAUGCUGCUAAAUUUAAGGCUUGUUUCUCAAAACAUUCGCAGUUGCAAGAGCUUUUGCCUUGCCAGGCUUGAGAGCUGAUGCUGAUAAUUCCUUCCUUGGAUGUCUGAGCCU